GACGAACGCUGGCGGCGUGCUUAACACAUGCAAGUCGAGCGGAGCGGCGAACGGGUGAGUAACGCGUGAGUAACUGACCCCCUCUCUGGGAUAACAGUUGGAAACGGCUGCUAAUACAGGAUAGUGGGGGAUGACUCGCGUCCUAUCAGCUUGUUGAUGGGGUAGUGGCCUACCAAGGCGACGACGGGUAGCCGGCCUGAGAGGGCGACAGGCCACAUUGGGCUGAGAUACGGCCCAACGUCCAACGUGGGGCAGCAGUGGGGAAUAUUGCACAAUGAGGGAAACCCUGAUGCAGCAACGCCGCGUGCGAGAUGACGGACUUCGGGUUGUAAACCGCUUUCAGCCAUUACGCGGUAGUUGCUGAAGAAGCACCGGCUAACUACGUGCCAGCAGCCGCGGUAAUAC
rnacentral:rRNA from 1 species